UUUGGGCCUCCAACCCAAUCUUCAGACCCGGAUCCAAGCCGACACGGUCAAACGCGCAGUAGCACACACUCAUCAACUCACACGGACGCGUUAAGAUUCCUCCACAACUUCAUCUAAUUGCUUCGAAAAUUCACACGAAAUGAGAUCCACAGAUAUUUGAUUCCAGAUUCCCACUUUCAUUUCGAAAAUCAAAUGGAUGUUAUGAACAAAUCUGAAUUCGGAAUAAUCAUCCUUAUUCACGUCCUUCGACUCAACUUCUUCCCUGAAGAGGGGUCGUGGAAUCCGUCUGCAAGGUCAAAAGGUUCACAUUGAGAUGCUGAACAAGAGAAAGAGACUUACCGAAUUCGGGCGUCGGCGAGAUGAGGUGGAGUCUUCGGAUCCGUCAUUUUGCGCUGCGGGAACCUGUAAAUGUCCUCUCGUUCCCUUGUUUGUUUGUGUUUCGCUUCAGCUUCUUCCGUUCUUCCUCCUUGUUGACGUUGGUUCGUUACAGAGAUCGCGGAAAUGGUUACAGUACAAGAUAGUACCUCUGAUGCAGAAGGUUUGUGCUGAAGAUGACAGAUUCGGAAUGAAGAUAUAGGUGAUGCAGGACAUGGACGAGGACGAGGGUGAAGUAGAAGAUUUUAGGGAUUGGAGAGGUAUGAAUGGAUUUGAAGAUUGAAGGCUCUUACUACAGAGCGAAAAACUCUUGCUGCAGAGUGAAAAACUCUGGCUACAGAAUGAAAAAAAAAACCUCUGCAGAGUGAAGCUUGCAGGAAAUGAGUUUGGUUGAUGCGAAUCAAGUGUAGCAUUCACCCUACCAACAGUUAGCACAAAAUUGCAUGAUUCGUAAUCGGUUUGCUUAGUUAGUGCCAAAUGUCGUUUGGGAUUGAAAUUAAAUUGUAACAUGAAGCUCCAAUUUUUAAUUGAAACCAUAACUGAACCGUAUGCCAUGUUGUUAUGCUAUUAAUUAGUAGCUAGUUUGCUACUAAACGGUAUUUUGGGAAUAGAAUUUAACAUACACGAGCUUUGGAUUGUUAGUGUGAUGAAACUGACAUUCAACUUGCUGUUACAUGAAGACCAAUUAGCUCAAAUUAUGGGAGUAUGCGGGAAGACAUGGCUUCUUGGGUUGGCAAAUGAUGAAGAAUUCCUGUUUGGUUGUAGGUCCUUGGAGGUGCGGCUGUAAAAUUAGAAUGCAAAUGAGGAGCCUUUUUUUGAAUUUCCAUUUCUUUUCUGGUAUUAGUCGAAAUCUUGGGUGGCCUGCCGGUUAAAUUGUCAGUUCUAUGUGUUGGUGUAAGCCUUAGAGGCCAAUACUUUUGGUUGGUACCUGUAUCGAAUUAUUUAUUAAUAAAUAAAAGGCUUUUUCUUUA